UACGAAGGGUGCUAGCGUUGUUCGGAAUUACUGGGCGUAAAGCGCGCGUAGGCGGCCAUUCAAGUCAGAGGUGAAAGCCCGGAGCUUAACUCCGGAACUGCCUUUGAAACUGUAUGGCUUGAGUGUCGGGAGGGGAUAGCGGAAUUGCUAAUGUAGAGGUGAAAUUCGUAGAUAUUAGCAGGAACACCGGUGGCGAAGGCGGCUAUCUGGACGACAACUGACGCUGAGGCGCGAAAGCGUGGGGAUCAAACAGGG
rnacentral:rRNA from 1 species